GUAGAAAGCCUGAUUCAGCCAACACAAACACAGCAGGUUCAGCUAGAAGGCCUGGCACAAUCAACAUUGGGACAAAUUGAGAGCCUGAUUCAGCCAACACAAGUCAAAGGUCAGGCACAACAAGUCCAAGUAGAAAGCCUGAUUCAGCCAACACAAGUCAAAGGUCAG